rnacentral:tRNA from 1 species
UGCAUCGGCCGGGAAUCGAACCCGGGCCGCCAGCGUGGCAGGCGAGCAUUUUAGCACUGAAAUACCGAUGU